AACGUAGGCGGCAAGCGUUAUCCGGAAUUACUGGGCGUAAAGGGUGUGCAGGCGGGGAUACAAGUGGUGUAUGAAAUCUCCCAGCUUAACUGGGAGCGGUUAUGCCAGACUGUAUUUCUAGAGGACGAGAGAGGGAUGCGGAAUUCCAGGUGUAGCGGUGAAAUGCGUAGAUAUCUGGAGGAACACCGAUGGCGAAGGCAGGUCUCUGGGCCACUACUGACGCUGAGAAGCGAAAGCAUGGGGAGCGAACAGG
rnacentral:rRNA from 1 species